CGUGGAAUAUGGGACAAUGGGCGCAAGCCUGAUCCAGCCAUGCCGCGUGCGGGAAGAAGGCCUUCGGGUUGUGAAACCGGUUUUGGCGGGGUGAAA
rnacentral:rRNA from 1 species